rnacentral:snRNA from 1 species
AUCAAUUCUCAGCCUUUUGGCUAAGAUCAAGUGUAGUAUCUGUUUUUAUCAGUUUAAUAUCUGAUACAUUCUCUGAAGACAAUAUAUUAAAUGAAUUUUUGGAGCAGGGAGAUGGAAUAGGAGCUUGCUCCGUCCACUCCAUGCAUCGACCUAGUAUUUCAGUACUUCCAGGAAUGGUGCACCCCCU